UCCAGCCCAUUUCUACUAGCUUUAAAUCAAUUUGGUGACAGUAUGCUUUUAACAAAUGCAUGUAAAAUUUACACAUUCUCUUCACAGAUCUGAAUUUUUUAUGUGACUCAUAUUGCGCUACACAAAUGUUAUCCAAUCAAAUACUUUCUAGAGCAAGUCCCUCCUCCAAACACCAUCUGAAAGCGACUAACAGCACAGUGUAGCUCUGUGAAGUGUCUCAGUUGGAGAUGUAAGAAUAAUAACAGAUUUACCUUUACAGAAGAUCUGAACCGCUCUGAAUGUGAAGAAGUGUCCUGAGGAGCAGCAGGUGUUGAGAGCAGAAUUACUUCAAUGCGAAACAUAAGGACUGAGGACUUCAUGCGGAAAGUUACCUACAGAUUAAGGGAUGUGUUUGAACAGAAGCAGAGCGCUGGGACGUGUGGACAGACUUUCACUGUAAUGAUGGACAUCCGCUCGUGGACAGGUAAGACUUCUAACUUGUGUUUUUGUUUUGUUGUGUACUAAACAUGUAGGUUACCAUCAUUUUCUUUUUGGAGGGUCACCCCUCUGGAAAGCAAAUGAUGGGAACCUAAACAGGUGGGGAAUCGACGGCGGAGCUGAAAAUUUAUACAGCUAAAUUUUUAUUUUUUUUCUGUCAAGAAGUAUAACCCCUGCUGGACAUGGUGCCGGGGCUCGGGGGGGACCCGAAUCGUCCCCAUCCCUUCAUUCACACAACACUCACUCGUAUCGCGGAGAUCUGGCUGGGAUUGAACCAGCAACCUCUGAACCGUGAGGCAGUGCUCUUACCUGUGAGCCACAGAUCUCUUGUCUGAACAUGUGAAGGAACUUAUAUUUCACUGUUCACCUGCAUGUGCUUUUACAAUAAACCAGUUAAAGUUAUCA
ensembl:lncRNA